rnacentral:rRNA from 1 species
UGCCUACGGGAGGCAGCAGUAGGGAAUCUUCCACAAUGGACGAAAGUCUGAUGGAGCAACGCCGUGUGAGUGAAGAAGGGUUUCGGCUCGUAAAGCUCUGUUGGUAGUGAAGAAAGAUAGAGGGAGUAACUGGCCUUUUUUUGACGGUAAUUACUUAGAAAGUCACGGCUAACUACGUGCCAGCAGCCGCGGUAAUACGUAGGUGGCAAGCGUUGUCCGGAUUUAUUGGGCGUAAAGCGCAUGCAGGCGGU